GAUGAACGCUGGCGGCGUGCCUAAUACAUGCAAGUCGAGCGAACAGAUAAGGAGCUUGCUCCUUUGACGUUAGCGGCGGACGGGUGAGUAACACGUGGGUAACCUACCUAUAAGACUGGGAUAACUUCGGGAAACCGGAGCUAAUACCGGAUAACAUUUGGAACCGCAUGGUUCUAAAGUGAAAGAUGGUUUUGCUAUCACUUAUAGAUGGACCCGCGCCGUAUUAGCUAGUUGGUAAGGUAACGGCUUACCAAGGCAACGAUACGUAGCCGACCUGAGAGGGUGAUCGGCCACACUGGAACUGAGACACGGUCCAGACUCCUACGGGAGGCAGCAGUAGGGAAUCUUCCGCAAAGGGCGAAAGCCUGACGGAGCAACGCCGCGUGAGUGAUGAAGGGUUUCGGCUCGUAAAACUCUGUUAUUAGGGAGGAACAAACGUGUAAGUAACUGUGCACGUCUUGACGGUACCUAAUCAGAAAGCCACGGCUAACUACGUG
rnacentral:rRNA from 1 species